rnacentral:rRNA from 1 species
UAGCCGUAAACGAUACUCGCUAGGUGUCGGCCACGGUGCGACCGUUGUCGGUGCCGUAGGGAAGCCGUGAAGCGAGCCACCUGGGAAGUACGGCCGCAAGGCUGAAACUUAAAGGAAUUGGCGGGGGAGCACCACAACGGGUGGAGCUUGCGGUUUAAUUGGAUUCAACGCCGGAAAUCCUACCGGGACCGACAGCAACAUGAAGGCCAGGCUGAAGACUUUGCCGGAUUAGCUGAGAGGAGGUGCAUGGCGUAGUCGUGU